rnacentral:rRNA from 1 species
AGAGUUUGAUCCUGGCUCAGGAUGAACGCUGGCGGCGUGCCUAAUACAUGCAAGUCGAGCGAACGGACGAGAAACUUGCUUCUCUGAUGUUAGCGGCGGACGGGUGAGUAACACGUGGAUAACCUACCUAUAAGACUGGGGAUAACUUCGGGAAACCGGAGCUAAUACCGGAUAAUAUUUUGAACCGCAUGGUUCAAAAGUGAAAGACGGUCUUGCUGUCACUUAUAGAUGGAUCCGCGCUGCAUUAGCUAGUUGGUAAGGUAACGGCUUACCAAGGCAACGAUGCAUAGCCGACCUGAGAGGGUGAUCGGCCACACUGGAACUGAGACACGGUCCAGACUCCUACGGGAGGCAGCAGUAGGGAAUCUUCCGCAAUGGGCGAAAGCCUGACGGAGCAACGCCGCGUGAGUGAUGAAGGUCUUCGGAUCGUAAAACUCUGUUAUUAGGGAAGAACAUAUGUGUAAGUAACUGUGCACAUCUUGACGGUACCUAAUCAGAAAGCCACGGCUAACUACGUGCCAGCAGCCGCGGUAAUACGUAGGUGGCAAGCGUUAUCCGGAAUUAUUGGGCGUAAAGCGCGCGUAGGCGGUUUUUUAAGUCUGAUGUGAAAGCCCACGGCUCAACCGUGGAGGGUCAUUGGAAACUGGAAAACUUGAGUGCAGAAGAGGAAAGUGGAAUUCCAUGUGUAGCGGUGAAAUGCGCAGAGAUAUGGAGGAACACCAGUGGCGAAGGCGACUUUCUGGUCUGUAACUGACGCUGAUGUGCGAAAGCGUGGGGAUCAAACAGGAUUAGAUACCCUGGUAGUCCACGCCGUAAACGAUGAGUGCUAAGUGUUAGGGGGUUUCCGCCCCUUAGUGCUGCAGCUAACGCAUUAAGCACUCCGCCUGGGGAGUACGACCGCAAGGUUGAAACUCAAAGGAAUUGACGGGGACCCGCACAAGCGGUGGAGCAUGUGGUUUAAUUCGAAGCAACGCGAAGAACCUUACCAAAUCUUGACAUCCUUUGACAACUCUAGAGAUAGAGCUUUCCCCUUCGGGGGACAAAGUGACAGGUGGUGCAUGGUUGUCGUCAGCUCGUGUCGUGAGAUGUUGGGUUAAGUCCCGCAACGAGCGCAACCCUUAAGCUUAGUUGCCAUCAUUAAGUUGGGCACUCUAAGUUGACUGCCGGUGACAAACCGGAGGAAGGUGGGGAUGACGUCAAAUCAUCAUGCCCCUUAUGAUUUGGGCUACACACGUGCUACAAUGGACAAUACAAAGGGCAGCGAAACCGCGAGGUCAAGCAAAUCCCAUAAAGUUGUUCUCAGUUCGGAUUGUAGUCUGCAACUCGACUACAUGAAGCUGGAAUCGCUAGUAAUCGUAGAUCAGCAUGCUACGGUGAAUACGUUCCCGGGUCUUGUACACACCGCCCGUCACACCACGAGAGUUUGUAACACCCGAAGCCGGUGGAGUAACCUUUUAGGAGCUAGCCGUCGAAGGUGGGACAAAUGAUUGGGGUGAAGUCGUAACAAGGUAGCCGUAUCGGAAGGUGCGGCUGGAUCACCU